rnacentral:rRNA from 1 species
UACGUAGGUGACAAGCGUUGUCCGGAUUUACUGGGCGUAAAGGGCGCGUAGGCGGGAUGGCAAGUCGGUCGUGAAAUCCCUCGGCUCAACCGAGGAACGUCGAUCGAUACUGCUGUUCUUGAGGAUUGCAGAGGAGACUGGAAUUCCCGGUGUAGCGGUGAAAUGUGUAGAGAUCGGGAGGAACACCGGUGGCGAAGGCGGGUCUCUGGGCAAUUCCUGACGCUGAGGCGCGAAAGCGUGGGGAGCGAACGGG